rnacentral:rRNA from 1 species
UUAAAUUUGUAAGGGCGUAUGGUGGAUGCCUUGGCACUAGAAGCCGAUGAAGGACGUGACUAACUGCGAUAUGCUUCGGGGAGAUGUACGUAAUCUUUGAUCCGGAGAUUUCCGAAUGGGGGAACCCACUAGUGGUAAUGCACUAGUAUCGUAUAAUGAAAACAUAGUUAUACAGAAAGCAACCCAGUGAACUGAAACAUCUUAGUAACUGGAGGAAAAGAAAGAAAAAUCGAUUUCCUUAGUAGUGGCGAGCGAAACGGAAAGAGCCCAAACCGACUUUAGAGUCGGGGUUGUAGGACCUCUACUUAAGAGUUACAAAUUCACAAUAUAGUUGAACUAUUCUGGAAAGUUUGGCAAAACAAGGUGAUAGCCCUGUAAACGAAAUAUUGUGAACUCUUUGAGGUAUCCUGAGUACAACGAGACACGUGGAAUCUUGUUGGAAUCUGCGGGGACCAUCCCGCAAGGCUAAAUACUCUCUAGUGACCGAUAGUGAACAAGUACCGUGAGGGAAAGGUGAAAAGAACCCCGGGAGGGGAGUGAAAUAGAACCUGAAACCGUAUGCUUACAAAAAGUUCGAGCACAUUAAUGUGUGAGAGCGUGCCUUUUGCAGAAUGAACCGGCGAGUUAUUGUAUUAUGCAAGGUUAAGUCGAACAGAUGGAGCCGAAGCGAAAGCAAGUCUGAAUAGGGCGCUUUAGUAUGAUGCAAUAGACCCGAAACCGAGUGAUCUAGCCAUGAGCAGGUUGAAGUUGGGGUAAGACCCAAUGGAGGACCGAACCGAUAUGCCCGGAAACGCGUACGGAUGACUUGUGGUUAGCGGAGAAAUUCCAAACGAACUCGGAGAUAGCUGGUUCUCCCCGAAAUAGGUUUAGGCCUAGCCUUGAUUGAAUCUGCCCGGAGGUAGAGCACUGAAUGUGCGAUGGCGUCGUCUAGAUGUACUGAGUACAAUCAAACUCCGAAUGCUGGGUAGUACUAAUCAGGAGUCACUGUAUGGGUGAUAACGUCCAUACGGGAGAGGAAAAGAAUCCGGAUCGCCAGCUAAGGUCCCAAAAUUUGUGUUAAGUGGGAAAGGAUGUAGAGUUGUCAAAACAGCUAGGAGGUUGGCUUAGAAGCAGCCACCCUUUAAAGAGUGCGUAAUAGCUCACUAGUCGAGUGACACUGCGCCGAAGAUGUACCGGGGCUAAACACAAUACCGAAGCUGCGGACUUGUACUUAUGUGCAAGUGGUAGGGGAGCGUUCUAAGGGCUGUGAAGGUAGACCGUAAGGACUGCUGGAGCGUUUAGAAGUGAGAAUGCCGGUGUGAGUAACGAAAAUUGGGUGAGAAUCCCAUUCACCGUUUGACUAAGGUUUCCUGGGUAAAGUUCGUCUUCCCAGGGUUAGUCAGGACCUAAGAUGAGGCUGAAAAGCGUAGUCGAUGGACAACAGGUUUAUAUUCCUGUACCACCUAUGUAACUGAUGGAGUGACGGAGAAAGCUAAUGAGAGCCAGUUAUUGGAUUCUGGUCUAAGUGCGUAGGCUAGUAUGUUGGGAAAUCCGCAAUACUAUUACAGCUGAAACAUGAUGGGGAAGUGAUCCUUCGGGUGAGCAAACUUUCAUGAUGCUACGCUUCCAAGAAAAGCUUCUAGGGCUAAUUGCAUAGGUGCCUGUACCGACAACCGACACAGGUGGUCAAGGAGAGUAUCCUAAGGUGAGCGAGAGAACUAUGGUUAAGGAACUCGGCAAAAUGACCCCGUAACUUCGGGAGAAGGGGUGGUCUAGCGAUAGACCCGCAGUAAAGAGUCCCAGGCAACUGUUUACCAAAAACACAGCUCUCUGCUAAAUCGAAAGAUGAUGUAUAGGGGGUGACACUUGCCCAGUGCUGGAAGGUUAAGAGGAGAGGUUAGUAAUGACUUCGGUUAUAUUUACGAAGCUUCGAAUUGAAGCCCCAGUGAACGGCGGCCGUAACUAUAACGGUCCUAAGGUAGCGAAAUUCCUUGUCAGGUAAGUUCUG